UACAGAGGUCCCAAGCGUUGUUCGGAUUCACUGGGCGUAAAGGGUGCGUAGGUGGUUGCGUAAGUCUGAUGUGAAAUCUCCGGGCUCAACCCGGAAAUGGCAUUGGAAACUGCGUGGCUAGAGGGUUGGAGGGGGGACUGGAAUACUUGGUGUAGCAGUGAAAUGCGUAGAUAUCAAGUGGAACACCAGUGGCGAAGGCGAGUCCCUGGACAACACCUGACACUGAGGCACGAAAGCUAGGGGAGCAAACAGG
rnacentral:rRNA from 1 species